AUUGAACGCUGGCGGCAGGCCUAACACAUGCAAGUCGAGCGAGCGGCGGACGGGUGCGUAAUGUAUGGGGACUGACCGAUAGAGGGGGAUAACUACUGGAAACGGUGGCUAAUAACGCAUAAUGUCGGAGAACCCAUAUGGGAUUCGCGAGUUGGUAAGGUAAUGGCUUACCUAGGCGACGAGCCCUAGCUGGUCUGAGAGUAUUAUCAGCCACACUGGGACGGAGACACGGCCCAGACUCCUACGGAGGCAGCAGUGGGUAAGAUUGCACAAUGGGCGCAAGCCUGAUGCAGCCAUGCCGCGUGUAUGAAGAAGGCCCUAGGGUUGUAAAGUACUUUCAGUCGGGAAGCGUUACCGACAGAAGAAGCACCGGCUAACUCCGUGCCAGCAGCCGCGGUAAUUC
rnacentral:rRNA from 1 species